CAGGGGCGCCUUCUGCAGCCUGCAGAGCCCAGGAGUGUUGGGCAAUUGUGGUUUCCUCUGAGCCGAAGCCGCUCAGCGCGGGCCCUACCCGGGCGUCCUGGGCCUCGUCUGAUUGGACAUGGAGGAGACAGUCGUGCGGCCCUCUGUAUUUGUGGUGGAUGGACAAACAGACAUCCCAUUCAGGAGGCUGGGGCCGAGCCACAGGAGACAGUGCUGCAGCCCUGCGCGGCUCAGCCUGGCUCUGCUGCUGCUGCUGCUGGGCGCGGCGCUGGCCGUCCAGGGCUGGUUCCUGCUGCAGCUUCACUGGCGCCUGGGGGAAGUGGUCACCCGCCUGCCGGACCCAGACGCAGGCUCCAGGGAGAAGCUGAGGCAAGAGCAGAGAUCCCCCCAGGCCAACCCAGCAGCACACCUCACAGGGGCCAAUGCCAGCUUGACGGGCAGUGGGGGCCCACUGCUGUGGGAGACGCAGCUAGGCCUGGCCUUCCUGAGGGGCCUCAACUACAGCAAUGGGGCCCUGGUGACCACCGAGGCUGGCUACUACUAUGUCUACUCCAAAGUGCAGCUGGGCGGCAUUGGCUGUCCCCAGGGGCCCACUGGCGGCCUUCCCAUCACCCACGGACUCUACAAACGCACCCCUCGCUACCCCAAGGAGCUGGAGCUGCUGGUCAGCAGGCGGUCACCCUGUGGGCGGGCAAACAGCUUCCGCCUCUGGUGGGACAGCAGCUUCCUGGGUGGCGUGGUGCACCUGGAUGCCGGGGAGGAGGUGGUGGUCCGAGUGCCCGAUGAGCGCCUGAUCCGGCUCCGUGAUGGCACCCGCUCCUAUUUCGGAGCCUUCAUGGUGUGAAAGAGUGGACGGACUGGGGACCUAACCCGCAAAGACGUCGACGCGGGCCACAGGGGACCAGAAACCCAGCAGGCAGAGACCCCGGAGGACCCCCAGAGGUGGGGGGUCAGCGGACGCCACUGGGAGGCGGAAGACCCACGCAGACUGCGGAGCUGCCUGGGACAGCAGGACGGGGACUGUGGACGCGGGGUCCCCAGGCCCCUUGCGGGCUGCGCUGAUUUGCCUGAUAUUCAGGAAGAGGGGACGCGGGUAUUUAUACUUUGGAUCAGGGAGAAGGUGGCGCUCGGGGCUCCCGGGAUUGGCUGGGGACUCGUACUUUGGGACCUCCCUGCGGUCCGAGCGUGGGCAGAGGAUUGAUCAUAGGACUCUCCACGUGGAGAACUCAGCCCUGCUCCGCCCGUAGUCGUCACAGUCACAGUCACAGUCAGGUCACACACUCUGGGCUCACCCACGGAUUUCCAGCGUUGCCAGUUACCAUGGUUUCCGGCCCCACCACAGGGUGUUUCCAGCUACCAGGUAGCACCAGCGGCUGGCUGGUCCCCCGCCAAGGACACUGCCACGGGGAACCAAGCACGCAGUCAGCACUCAGGGACGCUUGCUGAUUAAAAAAAAGGAUGACCGGGCAGUCACUGCCCUGGCCUCAUGCGGAGUCCUGCUCAAGGCUCCCCCACCUCCUGAUGCCACUCGCCCGAUCCACGCACAACUGCACCAUCCCACCAAGACCAGUCGUCACCGUCGUGAUGCUGCGUGACACACACAUGUGAUGCAAGCAUGUGCCACCCACAGCCGCCCACACCAGUGUCAUGGUCACAUCAGGUGGCGUCGUCUGCUGUAAGCUGUGUCUCUGCCCUCGGGAUGGUGGAGAUACCCGGGUGGGAAGACUGGUCCGGGGAGUGGCACCGUCAGCCCUGCAGGGAGACUGACCUCACGGGUCUCUUUUUGGGACCGCUGGUAUGACUUGAGUGCCCGGUACUAUCACCUCUCUUACCUGGAGGUUUUCCAGCUGCAGACUUCAGCCCCAUCUCCCUCUCCCCUGGCAGUUCCCAAUUGAGGAACCUCUCACCCAGGGCUCCCGUGGGUGGCGUGGGUGGCUCCUUGGUCGCACUGCACACCUGUGUUGGGCAGCUAUUGUGUUGGGUCACCGCUGCUGGGGAGGGGGGAAGGUUGGAAGCCUGGUACCUGGCCGCUGGAGAUCUGAUCUGGGAACUGCCCCCAGCUGAAUGGCGAGAAUGUGGAGCCAAGAUGGCAGCGGCCUGCUUUCAGCACCGGGGUGU